GACAGGGCCAGCGAGUACAUCACCUUAACCGAGAGGUUUGGGUAAUCUUGUUAAACCCUGUCGUGCUGGGGAUAGAGCAUUGCAAUUAUUGCUCUUCAACGAGGAAUGCCUAGUAGGCACGAGUCAUCAGCUCGUGCCGAUUACGUCCCUGCCCUUUGUACACACCGCCCGUCGCUACUACCGAUUGAAUGGCUCGGCCCGUGCCCCCCCCCCG
rnacentral:rRNA from 1 species